CAGAGGUGGUGGUGCUGACGAUGUCUAGCCUCGUACUACACAUCAUCUGCGGUGAAAGAAUCAUUUAUGUCAAGUUUCUCUUUGUACUUCUUUGAUUGUGAUAUCAUACUGUUGCUGCUUGUUGAUGGAGACAACAAAGUCUCUGCUACUGGAUAUUCAGUUUUCUUGAAGAAAGAGGGAAGAGUUGGCUGCUGGGCUUUUCUUUUCAUUUUAUUUUGCAAGACUUUGUACGGAGCCAGUAGGUCAUCUAAUCCAUUUUUGAAUUUCAGACUUCGUUCCAUUAUAGGAUCAGAUGCUAUAACCUCUUCAGACAAUUCAUC
rnacentral:lncRNA from 1 species